AGUGAACGCUGGCGGUAUGCCUAACACAUGCAAGUCGAACGGCAGCACAGUAAGAGCUUGCUCUUACGGGUGGCGAGUGGCGGACGGGUGAGGAAUACAUCGGAAUCUACUUUUUCGUGGGGGAUAACGUAGGGAAACUUACGCUAAUACCGCAUACGACCUACGGGUGAAAGCAGGGGAUCUUCGGACCUUGCGCGAUUGAAUGAGCCGAUGUGGGAUUAGCUAGUUGGCGGGGUAAAGGCCCACCAAGGCGACGAUCCGUAGCUGGUCUGAGAGGAUGAUCAGCCACACUGGAACUGAGACACGGUCCAGACUCCUACGGGAGGCAGCAGUGGGGAAUAUUGGACAAUGGGCGCAAGCCUGAUCCAGCCAUACCGCGUGGGUGAAGAAGGCCUUCGGGUUGUAAAGCCCUUUUGUUGGGAAAGAAAAGCAGCAGGUUAAUACCCCGCUGUUCUGACGGUACCCAAAGAAUAAGCACCGGCUAACUUCGUG
rnacentral:rRNA from 1 species